rnacentral:rRNA from 1 species
GAAAGCUGACGAGCACGCCGCGUGAGUGAAGAGGGUUUUCGGAUCGUAGAACUCUGUUGUUAGAGAAGAAUAAGGCCGUUAGUAGGUGAACGUCCCCUGCCGGCCUGCUGCCUCCCAGACACGGCUAACUACGUGCCAGCAGCCGCGGUAAUA